rnacentral:rRNA from 1 species
GACGAACGCUGGCGGCGUGCUUAACACAUGCAAGUCGAACGGUAAGGCUCCAGCUUGCUGGGGUACUCGAGUGGCGAACGGGUGAGUAACACGUGGGUGACCUGCCCUGCACUUCGGGAUAAGCCUGGGAAACUGGGUCUAAUACCGGAUAGGACCGCACCGUGAGGGUGUGGUGGAAAGUUUUUUCGGUGUGGGAUGGGCCCGCGGCCUAUCAGCUUGUUGGUGGGGUAAUGGCCUACCAAGGCGGCGACGGGUAGCCGGCCUGAGAGGGUGGACGGCCACAUUGGGACUGAGACACGGCCCAGACUCCUACGGGAGGCAGCAGUGGGGAAUAUUGCACAAUGGGCGGAAGCCUGAUGCAGCGACGCCGCGUGGGGGAUGACGGCCUUCGGGUUGUAAACUCCUUUCACCAUCGACGAAGGGUUUCUGACGGUAGAUGGAGAAGAAGCACCGGCUAACUACGUG